rnacentral:rRNA from 1 species
UACGUAGGGGGCUAGCGUUGUCCGGAAUCAUUGGGCGCAAAGCGCGUGUAGGCGGUCCGGUAAGUCCGCUGUGAAAGUCGGGGGCUCAACCCUCGGAUGCCGGUGGAUACUGUCGGGCUUGAGUACGGAAGAGGCGAGUGGAAUUCCUGGUGUAGCGGUGAAAUGCGCAGAUAUCAGGAGGAACACCAAUGGCGAAGGCAGCUCGCUGGAACGGUACUGACGCUGAGGCGCGAAAGCGUGGGGAGCGAACAGG